GCGGCGCGCGCAGCGCAAUCAGCCCGAUCCGUUCCAGGCCGAACGCGAUACUGAAGUUCUUUUUUCCGGAAUCGCUGUGAACGGGCUCUUUUGAAAUCUGGUGCAACGGGACAGUUCCGAUUCGAAGGUAAGCCGACGUUUUAUCUAGCAGAUUUACAGCCCGCCAAAUAAAGCAGCAUUAAGUAGCCUUUGCGACACACCUCACCGGUUCGGCGCAAACCUGGCCGGAACACGACACUGCCGGUCGGCCAGAAUUUGCCCCAAAAUGCGGCAAAACCCGGCCGUCUGCUCCCGCCCGGCCUGACGUUGAAUACGGGGUUUGGGGCUAGGCCCC
rnacentral:misc_RNA from 1 species